UUGCAGCCCCCAAGGAGCAG
rnacentral:miRNA from 1 species